rnacentral:lncRNA from 1 species
ACAAAUAGAGGAUAUACACACAGCAAUUGAAAUUGGGGGAGCAACAGAGUUUGGGAAUUAGGGAUUGGGGUGCAGAGAUGGUUACGCGCGCGAAAACAAGUAAUCAACUCUCGAUUCUUGUCAACUUCUUUUGGUAUCUCCCUAUCUAUUUAUAUAAAUACACCUAUAUACUUGAUUGUGUUUGUUCGUUUGGGCUUGUAAUCAGGGGUGGUGUGGUUGAAUCGGUCAUGGCGGUGAUUUGUUUCGCCGCUGAUAGAGGUGAGCGGAGGGAGCUGUUGCGUAGGGUGAGCUUGGGGUGUAUAGAGGGGAAUAGAUGGAGCUACUACAGAGGGCUGCGGAAGAUUGUGUGCGUGUGUCCUGUUGUGUGGGUGGUGUGUAUAACUGCCCUGUACAGGUGUACUAGUUUAUGUGUGUAAAUAGUUACUUUGUGUGUAAACAAAGCAGGGGGUUGGGAGAGGCUGCUGGUACGUGGCUGUGAUGUUUGUACAGGUGUGUAUAACAGCCUAAAGGUAUGUGUUGUCGCUUCUGUGUGUGUUCUAGUAGGUUGUGUGAUUUAUGUGGGUGUAAAUACCGUGUUGGUUUGUCGGAGGUGUUAGCAGGGCAGGUGCGGGUGUUAAUUGAAAUUGAAUAAGAAGGCUGAUCUAAGGCUAUUGAUUAGGCAGUCUAUGGGACUGGUGUGAUGGAAACUGAUGGAAGGAGGGUUGGAUGGAGAAGAGAGUGUAUGAGAUUGAAAAUAUGGGUACGAGUAUGCUGAUAAUGUUUUUGGGGUGGUAUUUUAAGAGUUUAAGUAGUGAAUUAAAGAUUUAGAAUUAUUCAUACUUGACUUAGAAAGUUUUGGCCGUCGCUGGUCUAUUUUGCAGUAUAAUUCUGGGUUAAUUGAGUUCAGUUAUGUGCUUAAUCUUUAUGUAAUAAUGUGCUACUUGAAGUCUAGAUCAAGUACGAAAAAGAAUUUCGAAAUUUCAUUAAACGAGCUAAAAGAGAUGUAUGUUUUAGUGCGAGGUGCGCAGAAAAUUCUGGGCAGGUUUGUCCUGUUCCAGGCCCUGUUUUGCUACCUUUAACUUGGUAUUUACUUAUGAAAAUUUUAAUGGAGUUUGAUAUUGGAGUCUGGAAUGUGCUGUUAAAAUUUUAUACAAUCAGACCAAUUUUUCUAUUUAUUAAAAAAUCUUAGCGUCGGGCUGGUUUUUCAAGACAGUUUCUGGUGCCUAAUUGACAUGCCUGUUUUACUGCUUUAAGCUUGGAGUUUCUUUCUGAAAAUUUUACUGUAGGUUGGAAUAAUGUGUAGGAGUGUCUCAUAAAAAUUUCGUAUUAUAUCGAUAAAUUUUCAAUUUAUUAAAAAUCAUAGAGUAAGGGCUAUUUAAACUAUUUGCUCUAGUUUUCUUUCUUUGUUGGUGCAUAAUAUGAAGUUAUACUUGAUUAAUUGCAUACGAUUGAUUAUUAAUUGAUUGGCUCAGUUGGCCUUGUAUAUCUUAUUAAAUGUAUUUUGUGUAUAGUGAACAAGCAAUCGUGCGGAAAGAUUUUCUUAUGUGUUUACUGCAAGUCAAGACAUCUUUUUAUAUUAUAAUUCAUGUGUUGGAAAUAGUAUUGGCUGGUUGUUGGUAUUGAAAACAGGUGGAUAAGCCUAUAAACAGAGGAGAUGUUGCCGAAUUUUUAUUAGAAAUUAAGGUGUUUAUUUAUUACUAAAUAAUUGAUACUUGAUGGCAGUAUAUUCUAUUUGAACUGGAAUAUCUAUCGAUUGUUUAUUGAUUAUGUGAUUAUGUGUUGACUGAUCCAAUGUGUAUAUAUUGCUAUGUGGAUAUCUGUAUAUAUUCAUGUUUAUUAUAUAUGGAUAUGCGAAGGGUAGAUGUUCGUGAUUCUUAUAAUAUUUAGAAUCAGCUAGUUCUUCUAAUCCGAAGACUUAGAUAUUAUCCUACUAUCGUGUAGAAUAAUCAAGACGUGUGUAUCGAGAAUGUUCAUUAUUAAUUUGAUGGUGUUGCAACUUGAAGCAAGAAAUAUCUGAGAAGACAAGACGUAGAAAGAAUAUUGUCGGAAGCUACUUAGAAAGAUAUGGUUGUGCAAUGUAGUGCUAUUAGAAUCGUGGCUAGACAUCGGAGUUGAGGCAAGUAAUUCUAACUUUCUCUUGCAAUUAGAGGCAAGUAUUUCUAUUCUUCUCUUUUAUUUAAAGAGCAAGUACUUCUAUCUAUCUUUCCCUUGCAGUUAGCAAGUAUUUCUAUUCUCAACUUGUAAUUACUGCAAGUAAUUCUAUUCUGCAUUUAUAUUGAAAGGGCAAGCAUUGUUAUCUUUCUCGUGUGAUUAAAGAUAAGUUAAAUAUUUCUAUUGUUAGAUCUGCAGUUGACAACAUUGCUAGACAUAUAUUAUGUUCUUGAUAGCUGAGAUAGCUACUUGGUUACAUUGAGUUAUAUGGUGGUGAUUUGAAAUAAGAAAAGAAGAGUUUUUGAAUAAAUAUAUAUAUGGUUGCGAAAGAAAUAAAUACAUAUGGUGAAGGGCUAGUGAAUAGCCGAGGGCUAUUGAAUAGCCGGGGCUAGUGAAUAGCCAAUCAGAAAAGCGAGCAAGAUGCCUAUUGUGUAUACCAAUAAUUGUCACCGGGAGGACUUUAUGUCCGAGGCCCGGGGCACCAAUAAUUGUCACCGGGAGGACUUUAUGUCCGGGGCCCGGGGCACCAAUAAUUGUCACCGGGAGGACUUUAUGUCCGGGGCCCGGGACACCAAUAAUGGUCACCGGGAGGAUGUUAUGUCCGAGGCCCGGGAUAAGGAUUCUAUUGUCUUGGGAACUGUAAAAGUUAGCGUAAGAGGCUAGUAAACCUAGUCCAACUGUUGAGGCCAAUUAGAUGCCUAGUGGGUACCCUAGUGUCGUUACCGGUGGGACUUAGAUCCAGUGCCCGGAACGAUCCGUCGUCGGUGGGACUUAGAUCCAGUGCCCGAGACGGAGGACUUUACGUGGCUGAUCACCCGUAUUGUCAGAUGAGUUGAAAGGAAGUUAAUAAUUAAAUAUUCUUAUAAAUGGACUAUAUUCUGAUAAAAGAAUAGCUUGGACCCAUUGUAAUCGAAAUUUUUAUAAAAAAGGGUGGCAGUAUGUAAUUGAACUUCAAUUAAUUUGAGGGGAACCUAGAACUGAAUCUCUGUUACAAAUAUUUGAUUUAAUUCAGAUAGUAUGGCAUUGUUAAAAAUUUAGUGUUAUACUUGCUGAGCAUUGCUCACUCUUGCUAUUAUUUCUAACCCUUGCAGCUAAGGAUUAAGGUGGUCACCUGGGUAAGCUGCGCGUAAGAGUAAUGCUAGGCGAGACUGCUAGGGAGGUGGCUGCGAGACUAGUAUGGUUAGAGUUGAAUUAUUUCAAUUCAGUUGUAGAUGGUUUUUAUUUAUUGGUUAUCAGUUAUCCUUCUUACCGAAGUUUAGCUGAUAACGUAGUUUAAGUUGUAAAAAGAUUUUAUAGUUUGGGUUCUGGUUUCAAUGCUGUAACCUAUUUGCGAUCCUGUUGUUAGGGGGUCAAAGUGAUUUUGAUUUAAAUCUCUUUUAAAAAUCCAGAUUUUGAAAUAUAUGUUUUACCUUCUUCCGGAAAUACAGGUUUAAAUUGAUUU